rnacentral:rRNA from 1 species
UACGAAGGGGCUAGCGUUGCUCGGAAUCACUGGGCGUAAAGGGUGCGUAGGCGGGUCUUUAAGUCAGGGGUGAAAUCCUGGAGCUCAACUCCAGAACUGCCUUUGAUACUGAAGAUCUUGAGUUCGGGAGAGGUGAGUGGAACUGCGAGUGUAGAGGUGAAAUUCGUAGAUAUUCGCAAGAACACCAGUGGCGAAGGCGGCUCACUGGCCCGAUACUGACGCUGAGGCACGAAAGCGUGGGAGCAAACAGGGA